rnacentral:rRNA from 1 species
AUUGAACGCUGGCGGAAGGCCUAACACAUGCAAGUCGAGCGAGCGGCGGACGGGCGAGUAAUGUAUGGGGACUGCCCGAUAGAGGGGGAUAACUACUGGAAAAGGUGGCUAAUACCGCAUACUAACGGAUAACCCAUAUGGGAUUAGCUAGUAGGGGGGUGAAAGGCUCACCUAGGCGACGAUCUCUAGCUGGUCUGAGAGGAUGAUCGGCCACACUGGGACUGAGACACGGCCCAGACUCCUACGGGGGCAGCAGUGGGGAAUAUUGCUCAAUGGGCGCAAGCCUGAUGGAGCCAUGCCGCGUGUAUGAAGAAGGCCUUAGGGUUUUAAAGUACUUUCAGCGGGGAAGCGUUACCCACAGAGGAAGCACCGGCUAACUCCGUGCCAGCAGCCGCGGUAAUAC